UUUCUUCUUCCAUUUGAACAAUAAUUCAGAAGUUAUGAGUGUAGAUUAUUUAACUUCUACAGUUUUAAAAUGCAUCACUUUGCCAACUUUUUCCAUUUAGAAUUUCCUUCAAUCUAUUUCCUAAACAUUCUAUAGCUUGAAAUUGAAAAUUUAUCUCUGUCCAGAAAAGGAAACUUUGGCUUUUCAGCUGGGGGUGGGGAGAGGGAGGGGAUUUGAUCCAACAUAUUCUUUUAUGGUUUUGAGCUUUCAGAAUUUCUACAAGGCCUUUAUUAUGCAUGACUUCCACUCUUCACUUCAUCAUUUAGCAACCCCAAACCAACUCUGCAGAUCAGCAGGGUAAUCAUUAAAAUCUGCUGGUAAGAUAAACAGGACGGGGAGAGGAAGAAACCUGCAAUGACCACGAGCCUGGAGGAGACUGAGGAGAACAAAAUAAAGUGCUCUUUUGGCUGGUUCAAGGCUUGCUUCAAGGAAUGCGAAUUCAAGGCACAAAUUUUCUUUAGGUAAAACAUAAAAAGUUAAUGGACGCUUUGCCUAUAUUAUGAUUGCUGGGUCACAUACAGGAGCACAGAGACAUACCUGACAUGAAA